GGUCGCAUGGUGGCUUAGUGGUUAAUACAUUCGCCUCACGCCCAGGGUCGGGGGUUCGAUUCCCACUGUGACCC